GCAGUAGCCGCGGUAAAACGUAGGUGACAAGCGUUGUCCGGAAUUAUUGGGCGUAAAGGGCUCGCAGGCGGUUUCUUAAGUCUGAUGUGAAAGCCCCCGGCUCAACCGGGGAGGGUCAUUGGAAACUGGGAAACUUGAGUGCAGAAGAGGAGAGUGGAGUUCCACGUGUAACGGUGAAAUGCGUAGAGAUGUGGAGGAACACCAGUGGCGAAGGCGACUCUCUGGUCUGUAACUGACGCUGAGGAGCGAAAGCGUGGGGAGCGAACAGGAUUAGAGACCCCAGUAGUCCCUGUCUCUUAUAA
rnacentral:rRNA from 1 species